UACGUAGGUGGCGAGCGUUAUCCGGAUUUACUGGGCGUAAAGUGGGUGCAGACGGUUUUUCAAGUCGGAUGUAAAAUCUCUCAGCUUAACUGAGAGGGAUCACCCGAAACUGCUAGACUAGAGGACAACAGGAGGAGGUAGAAUUCCCGGUGUAGUGGUGGAAUGCGUAGAUAUCGGGAGGAAUACCAGUGGCGAAGGCGGCCUUCUAGGUUGUUUCUGACGUUCAUGCCCGAAGGUGUGGGGAGCAAACAGGAUUAGAUACCCGCGUA
rnacentral:rRNA from 1 species